GAGACGGACAGUGGGACGGUGUCGUUGCUGACGAUGGCGAACAGGACUCCUGUGCUGCUGGAUGGACGGAUGUUCAGCUCCAAGUCUACUUUCCAAGACUCCGCUACACCUAGACAAGCAUAAAAGACAACAGAGGCUGGGAAGGAUUCUGCGAUCUGUCCACAGAGAUAACCGUGAAAUCGGCUCCUGGUGUCAGAUAUUAAAUCACAUUGGACAGUGACUGGGACAAACACAGCCUGCUCUGUACCACAGACGAAUAGAAGCCACUUGCCCAGGGAGCAAUCGUAUCUCGUUCUCGGUCUAUGAAAGUGCAUGUGAAUCGCAAUGCAGUGCACACAACAAGAAAGAGCUGGGUCUUCCGCCCUCUCCUGUACUCACUGUA